AGAGCUCAGGUAGAUAACUUGGAGGACCAGGAAGCUGAAGCAGCAACGAUGAGGGUGUCUGCGUCUGAAGCCAUGAUUUAACUGUUAAGGUUCAGAGGUUCAGUCCGUUAUCAUCAUGGUGGGAAGCACGGCAUCUUGCAGGCAGACUUGGUGCUGGAGAAGCCAAGAGUUCGACAUCUUGACCUAAAGAGAGCCUGGCAAGGCCUGCUGUCUUCCUCAGGCAGCCAGGAGGAGGAUCUCAUUCCACACUGGGCAGAGCCUGAGCCUGGGAACCUCGAAGCCCACCCCGACAGCAACCAAGGCCACACCUCCUAAUAGUGCCACUCUGUGAGCCAGUCAUAUUCAAACCACCACAAGCACCCUGCAUAACUACACCCCAAGCAUAAGGCUACCCUGAAUCGAGCCCAAGGGGAUAGAGUAAGAGAAGGAAUGGCUCCGCUUAAACUUGUUUCAGGGUCAGAUGCCUUCCAGUGCACGGAGCUCCCAGACAGCUCAGCAGCGCCCCCACCGCAGCUCAGCAGCGCCCCCACGGCAGGUGGUGGUGGUGUCGGCGGCCG
rnacentral:lncRNA from 1 species